AGAGAAGCGCAAACGGUGGAUGCCUUGGCAGUAAGAGGCGAAGAAGGACGUGGAAUCCUGCGAAAAGCUAUGGGGAGCUGGAAACGAGCGUUGAGCCAUAGAUGUCCGAAUGGGGGAACCCGGCUGCAGCGAUGCGGUCAUUUGCAUUUGAAUACAUAGGAUGCAAAGGCGAACUCGGGGAACUGAAACAUCUAAGUACCCGAAGGAAAAGAAAUCAAGAGAGAUUCUCCAAGUAGCGGCGAGCGAACGGGGAGGAGCCUGGCGUGAUUUAUUAUUGAACUGAGUAGAACAAUUUGGGAAAGUUGGCCGUAGAGGGUGAAAGCCCCGUAUACGAAGGUUUGAUGAGGAACUAGGCACGCGAACAAGUAGGCCGGGACACGUGAAAUCCUGGUUGAAGAUGGGUGGACCAUCAUCCAAGGCUAAAUACUACUUACUGACCGAUAGUGAACCAGUACCGUGAGGGAAAGGUGAAAAGAACCCCGGAGAGGGGAGUGAAAUAGAAUCUGAAACCG
rnacentral:rRNA from 1 species